CCGCCCUCGGCGAAAGGUUGCCAUGUGAGGUGACCUUCUCAAGCAAGACUUGAGAUAGCCGAGGGUGUUUUA
rnacentral:ncRNA from 1 species